CUGGCAGUAAACGGUGUACACUUGGUGUGGGGGGAUUCGACCCCUUCCGCGCCGGAGCUAACGCGUUAAGUGUACCGCCUGGGAAGUACGGUCGCAAGAUUAAAACUCAAAGAAAUUGACGGGGACCCGCACAAGCGGUGGAGUAUGUGGCUUAAUUCGAUGCAACGCGAAGAACCUUACCUGGUCUUGACAUGCAUUCUGUCGUUUAUGAAAGUAAGCUAGGUUAGCAAUAACCGGUUUGCACAGGUGC
rnacentral:rRNA from 1 species